rnacentral:rRNA from 1 species
AUGAACGCUGGCGGCGUGCUUAACACAUGCAAGUCGAACGAUUAAACUGGCUUCGGCCAGAUAUAGAGUGGCGAACGGGUGAGUAACACGUGACCAACCUGCCCCGCGCUCCGGGACAACCGCUGGAAACGGCGGCUAAUACCGGAUGCUCCGGGGAGGCCCCAUGGCCUCCCCGGGAAAGCCUUAACGGCGCGGGAUGGGGUCGCGGCCCAUUAGGUAGACGGCGGGGUAACGGCCCACCGUGCCCGCGAUGGGUAGCCGGACUGAGAGGUCGACCGGCCACAUUGGGACUGAGAUACGGCCCAGACUCCUACGGGAGGCAGCAGUGGGGAAUUUUGCGCAAUGGGGGAAACCCUGACGCAGCAACGCCGCGUGCGGGACGAAGGCCUUCGGGUUGUAAACCGCUUUCAGCAGGGAAGACUUUGACGGUACCUGCAGAAGAAGCUCCGGCUAACUACGUGCCAGCAGCCGCGGUAAUACGUAGGGGGCGAGCGUUAUCCGGAUUCAUUGGGCGUAAAGCGCGCGUAGGCGGCCGCCUAAGCGGAACCUCUAAUCCCGGGGCUCAACCUCGGGCCGGGUUCCGGACUGGGCGGCUCGAGUGCGGUAGAGGCAGGCGGAAUUCCCGGUGUAGCGGUGGAAUGCGCAGAUAUCGGGAAGAACACCGAUGGCGAAGGCAGCCUGCUGGGCCGCCACUGACGCUGAGGCGCGAAAGCUGGGGGAGCGAACAGGAUUAGAUACCCUGGUAGUCCCAGCCGUAAACGAUGGACGCUAGGUGUGGGGGGACCAUCCCCCCGUGCCGCAGCCAACGCAUUAAGCGUCCCGCCUGGGGAGUACGGCCGCAAGGCUAAAACUCAAAGGAAUUGACGGGGGCCCGCACAAGCAGCGGAGCAUGUGGCUUAAUUCGAAGCAACGCGAAGAACCUUACCAAAUCUUGACAUCCCUCUGACCGGCUCUUAAUCGAGUCUUUCCUUCGGGACAGGGGUGACAGGUGGUGCAUGGUUGUCGUCAGCUCGUGUCGUGAGAUGUUGGGUUAAGUCCCGCAACGAGCGCAACCCCCGUCCCGUGUUGCCAGCAUUGAGUUGGGGACUCGCGGGAGACUGCCGGCGUCAAGCCGGAGGAAGGUGGGGACGACGUCAAGUCAUCAUGCCCCUUAUGCCCUGGGCUGCACACGUGCUACAAUGGCCGGUACAGAGGGUUGCCACCCCGCGAGGGGGAGCGGAUCCCGGAAAGCCGGUCCCAGUUCGGAUCGCAGGCUGCAACCCGCCUGCGUGAAGUCGGAGUUGCUAGUAAUCGCGGAUCAGCAUGCCGCGGUGAAUACGUUCCCGGGCCUUGUACACACCGCCCGUCACACCACCCGAGUCGUCUGCACCCGAAGCCGCCGGCCGAACCCUUCUGGGGCGGAGGCGUCGAAGGUGUGGAGGGUAAGGGGGGUG